rnacentral:rRNA from 1 species
AAGGCAUGAGUAGUACGGCGAGUGAAGCGGCAACAGCUCAAAUUUGAAAUCUGGCUCUCGGGCCCGAGUUGUAAUUUGUAGAGGAUACUUUUGAUGCGGUGCCUUCCGAGUUCCCUGGAACGGGACGCCAUAGAGGGUGAGAGCCCCGUCUGGUUGGAUGCCAAAUCUCUGUAAAGUUCCUUCAACGAGUCGAGUAGUUUGGGAAUGCUGCUCUAAAUGGGAGGUAUAUGUCUUCUAAAGCUAAAUACCGGCCAGAGACCGAUAGCGCACAAGUAGAGUGAUCGAAAGAUGAAAAGCACUUUGAAAAGAGAGUUAAAAAGUACGUGAAAUUGUUGAAAGGGAAGCGUUUAUGACCAGACUUGGGCUUGGUUAAUCAUCUGGGGUUCUCCCCAGUGCACUUUUCCAGUCCAGGCCAGCAUCAGUUUUCCCCGGGGGAUAAAGACGGCGGGAAUGUGGCUCUCUUCGGGGAGUGUUAUAGCCCACCGUGUAAUACCCUGGGGGGGACGGAGGUUCGCGCAUCUGCAAGGAUGCUGGCGUAAUGGUCGUCAACGACCCCUCUUGAAACAAAAGAACAACAAAAAA